rnacentral:rRNA from 1 species
GCUAUUGGAGUUCGAUUAAGCCAUGCGAGUCGAGAGUCUUAGGGACUCGGCGUACCGCUCAGUAACACGUGGGUAACCUGCCCUAUGCUGGGGAAUAACCUCGGGAAACUGAGAAUAAUGCCCCAUAGUCCACAAUGCCUGGAACGGUUUGUGGAUCAAAGCUCCGGCGGCAUAGGAUGGGCCUGCGGCGUAUCAGGUUGUAGGGGGUGUAACGUACCCUCUAGCCAUCAACGCGUACGGGUGUUGGGAGACAUAGCCCGGAGAUGGAUUCUGAGACACGAAUCCAGACCCUACGGGGUGCAGCAGGCGCGAAAACUUGGCAAUGCGAGAAAUCGUGACCAGGGAACUCCAAGUGGCUGGGGUAAGACCCAGUCUUUUCUUGACUCUUCAAAGGUCUUGGAAUAAGGGGUGGGUAAGGACGGUGCCAGCCGCCGCGGUAAUACCGGCGCCUCAAGUGGUAGUCGAUUUUAUUGGGCCUAAAACGUCCGUAGCCUGGUUGGUACAUUCGUGGGUAAAUCAACCAGCUCAACUGGUUGAAUUCUGCGAGCACGGCCAGACUUGGGACCGGGAGAGGUGUGGGGUACGCUCAGGGUAGGGGUAAAAUCCUGUCAUCCUGAGCGGACCACCUGUUGCGAAGGCGCCACACUAGAACGGAUCCGACGGUCAGGGACGAAGCCUAGGGGCACGAACCGGAUUAGAUACCCGGGUAGUCCUAGGUGUAAACGCUGUGGACUUGGUGUUGGGGACUCUCCGAGAUUCCUCAGUGCCGAAGCGAAGGUGAUAAGUCCACUGCCUGGGGAGUACGGUCGCAAGGCUGAAACUUAAAGGAAUUGGCGGGGGAGCACCGC